UCGCACCUACCGAUUGAAUGGUCCGGUGAAAUCUUGGGAUUCUGUUUGAUUUCAUUUAUUUGUUUUCGUACGGGAGAACUUGAGUAAACCUUACCAUUUAGAGGAAGGUG
rnacentral:rRNA from 1 species